CAUGCAGUCGAACGAUGAACCUGGAGCUUGCUCUAGGGGAUUAGUGGCGAACGGGUGAGUAACACGUGAGUAACCUGCCCUUGACUCUGGGAUAACCUCCGGAAACGGAAGCUAAUACCGGAUAUGACGCACGGAGGCAUCUCCUGUGCGUGGAAAGAAUUUCGGUCAAGGAUGGACUCGCGGCCUAUCAGGUAGUUGGUGAGGUAACGGCCCACCAAGCCUACGACGGGUAGCCGGCCUGAGAGGGUGACCGGCCACACUGGGACUGAGACACGGCCCAGACUCCUACGGGAGGCAGCAGUGGGGAAUAUUGCACAAUGGGCGAAAGCCUGAUGCAGCAACGCCGCGUGAGGGACGACGGCCUUCGGGUUGUAAACCUCUUUUAGUAGGGAAGAAGCGAAAGUGACGGUACCUGCAGAAAAAGCACCGGCUAACUACGUGCCAGCAGCCGCGGUAAUACGUAGGGUGCGAGCGUUGUCCGGAAUUAUUGGGCGUAAAGAGCUCGUAGGCGGUCUGUCGCGUCUGCUGUGAAAUCCCGAGGCUCAACCUCGGGCCUGCAGUGGGUACGGGCAGACUAGAGUGCGGUAGGGGAGAAUGGAAUUCCUGGUGUAGCGGUGGAAUGCGCAGAUAUCAGGAGGAACACCGAUGGCGAAGGCAGUUCUCUGGGCCGUAACUGACGCUGAGGAGCGAAAGCGUGGGGAGCGAACAGGAUUAGAUACCCUGGUAGUCCACGCCGUAAACGUUGGGCGCUAGAUGUGGGGACCAUUCCACGGUUUCCGUGUCGCAGCUAACGCAUUAAGCGCCCCGCCUGGGGAGUACGGCCGCAAGGCUAAAACUCAAGAAAAU
rnacentral:rRNA from 2 species